CUAGGAGGAGAAGGGUGUGGAAGGGGGUGAGGAGGUGUUUCCUUCAGGUCUUUAGAACAUUUUGCUGUUGCCUCCCCACCCCAAGAGAAAGCAGCAUGCCCCCAAGAUCAUGACGGUUCAUGAGUGGACAAGCCCAUGGCUGCUGCUCUGUCCUUGCUCUUCCUGAGCACCACUGCAGCUCUGGAUAUUUCCUUAGACUGCAGAUUGCGAUGCCAGCAGUGGGCACAGAUGACGGUGCACUGGGGCUGGAGAAAAGCAAUACAAAAUGAUGGAAAACCUCUUGGUACCUGAGGACCGGGAAAGGUCCAACGUCAAGGCCUGGGUGGCCAGGACCACGUGUGGAGCCAAGACCACAGCUGACCGGCAAGGGAGGCGGGAAGUCCAUUCUAGAGGAUCUGUGGUCCCCUUCCAUGAAGCUGGAGCUAUGGUCCCCUCCUGUUCUGGAUUGCUUUAGUGUCUACUUGACACACCUGGGUUGAGGGAGCCUCAACUGGGGAAUUGCCUCCAUUGAACUGGCCUGUGGCCAUGUCUGUGGGA